rnacentral:rRNA from 1 species
GAUGAACGCUGGCGGCGUGCCUAAUACAUGCAAGUCGAGCGAACAGACGAGGAGCUUGCUCCUCUGACGUUAGCGGCGGACGGGUGAGUAACACGUGGAUAACCUACCUAUAAGACUGGGAUAACUUCGGGAAACCGGAGCUAAUACCGGAUAAUAUAUUGAACCGCAUGGUUCAAUAGUGAAAGACGGUUUUGCUGUCACUUAUAGAUGGAUCCGCGCCGCAUUAGCUAGUUGGUAAGGUAACGGCUUACCAAGGCAACGAUGCGUAGCCGACCUGAGAGGGUGAUCGGCCACACUGUAACUGAGACACGGUCCAGACUCCUACGGGAGGCAGCAGUAGGGAAUCUUCCGCAAUGGGCGAAAGCCUGACGGAGCAACGCCGCGUGAGUGAUGAAGGUCUUCGGAUCGUAGAACGCUGUUAGUAGUGAAGAACAAAUGUGUAAGUAACUAUGCACGUCUUGACGGUACCUAAUCAGAAAGCCACGGCUAACUACGUG